AAACAACAAGAUCCCAUUUGAAAAAAAUCAAAACAGAAGGCUGUGUGUAAUAUUUGCUGGUACAAGGUGGCAGUGGUUUGGCACACAAGCACAGAUUGUCAGCAUAUGUAUCUUCACAGAAAAUGUUAUAAGUUCUUCCUUGUGGGAUCUUACCACACAAUCUAUAAACCCUGAAGCUUGCAUGCUUCAGGGCUUCGAUUCUCAACAAGCUCUUUGGGAUUUUUCCCAUGAGCUUGUUCAAGGAUACGUUGAAACAACUCUACUUUCCCUACGAGCUUCUCGUAGGAAUGCAUUCUGCUAUUUGGUUUCUUGAAAUGUCAAGUCUUUCCAACUUAGCCAGGUUUGAAACUGAACUUGGAAUAUGACCUAAAAUCUUGUUGCUUCCUAUGUUGAGUACUUUUAAGUUUAUUGGUUGCCAAGUAAUUUGGAGAGAGAGAGAGAGAGCAAUGCAAUCAGUUUGAAUGGAGAUCAAGAAUGGUGAUCUGCUUUGGGAGUUUGAUUGAUGAGGGAUCUGAUCCUGCUUUGCCUCUUCCUGAACCAAUCAGGGAUGGUCUGGAAAUCGAGAUCAUUGUAUGAAAGAUCUACUGAUAGUAGAGAAGGAUGCCCUUUAUCAAAGCUGUGUCAGGCAGAAGAUAUUUGAGCAUGUUUAUUGGCAGAUUAAGAUUCCACAUGUUAUGCGGCUGUGUGUGGAAUUGUUCCUGCAAUGUGCUUCAUCCUGCCAAUCAUCAAUACAUCCAAGAAUUACAGAUUGCUGAGUGAACGAGAGGUGCACCUCACGAAGAGGGCUUGUGAUGAUGGUGCUCUUUGCAUGAUCAGCUUGGCAAGACAUGCUCGAUGCUUGCCAUCUUCCUUUGCAGCAGUUGCCCGAUGCCUGGGAUGCCAGAAGGGAAGCUCUGUCAGCUUUGGAACAGAUAGAUGAUUAUGAGGUCUUCCUAUGGAAUGAAGAAUGCUGUGAUCAGAAACUGCAUUUGAGAUAUAGAGUUGGAAAUAGAGUUCAAAACAUGAGAAGUGGAGCUCUUUACAUAGAUGUGUGUAAAAGUCUCAGUGCAAACUGGUGUAUAUGUGAGCUUAUUGGUCUCACUGAAACUUAUUACAGUAUGUUUUAAUGUUGGAGGUGGUGGAUACAAAAUCUUGACUUCA